rnacentral:rRNA from 1 species
GAUGAACGCUGGCGGCGUGCCUAAUACAUGCAAGUCGAGCGAACAGACGAGGAGCUUGCUCCUCUGACGUUAGCGGCGGACGGGUGAGUAACACGUGGAUAACCUACCUAUAAGACUGGGAUAACUUCGGGAAACCGGAGCUAAUACCGGAUAAUAUAUUGAACCGCAUGGUUCAAUAGUGAAAGACGGUUUUGCUGUCACUUAUAGAUGGAUCCGCGCCGCAUUAGCUAGUUGGUAAGGUAACGGCUUACCAAGGCAACGAUGCGUAGCCGACCUGAGAGGGUGAUCGGCCACGCUGGAACUGAGACACGGUCCAGACUCCUACGGGAGGCAGCAGUAGGGAAUCUUCCGCAAUGGGCGAAAGCUUGACGGGGCAACGCCGCGUGAGUGAUGAAGGUCUUCGGAUCGUAAAACUCUGUUAUUAGGGAAGAACAAAUGUGUAAGUAACUAUGCACGUCUUGACGGUACCUAAUCAGAAAGCCACGGCUAACUACGUG